UCGUCACACUAUCAUUAACUGAAUCCAUAGGUUAAUGAGGCGAACCGGGGGAACUGAAACAUCUAAGUACCCCGAGGAAAAGAAAUCAACCGAGAUUCCCCCAGUAGCGGCGAGCGAACGGGGAGGAGCCCAGAGCCUGAAUCAGCAUGUGUGUUAGUGGAAGCGUCUGGAAAGGCGCGCGAUACAGGGUGACAGCCCCGUACACAAAAGCGCAUGUGCUGUGAGCUCGAUGAGUAGGGCGGGACACGUGGUAUCCUGUCUGAAUAUGGGGGGACCAUCCUCCAAGGCUAAAUACUCCUGACUGACCGAUAGUGAACCAGUACCGUGAGGGAAAGGCGAAAAGAACCCCGGCGAGGGGAGUGAAAAAGAACCUGAAACCGUGUACGUACAAGCAGUGGGAGCACCCUUUGGGUGUGACUGCGUACCUUUUGUAUAAUGGGUCAGCGACUUAUAUUCUGUAGCAAGGUUAACCGAAUAGGGGAGCCGGAGGGAAACCGAGUCUUAAUUGGGCGUUAAGUUGCAGGGUAUAGACCCGAAACCCGGUGAUCUAGCCAUGGGCAGGUUGAAGGUUGGGUAACACUAACUGGAGGACCGAACCGACUAAUGUUGAAAAAUUAGCGGAUGACCUGUGGCUGGGGGUGAAAGGCCAAUCAAACCGGGAGAUAGCUGGUUCUCCCCGAAAGCUAUUUAGGUAGCGCCUCGUGAAUUCAUCUCCGGGGGUAGAGCACUGUUUCGGCUAGGGGGCCAUCCCGGCUUACCAACCCGAUGCAAACUGCGAAUACCGGAGAAUGUUAUCACGGGAGACACACGGCGGGUGCUAACGUCCGUCGUGAAGAGGGAAACAACCCAGACCGCCAGCUAAGGUCCCAAAGUCAUGGUUAAGUGGGAAACGAUGUGGGAAGGCCCAGACAGCCAGGAUGUUGGCUUAGAAGCAGCCAUCAUUUAAAGAAAGCGUAAUAGCUCACUGGUCGAGUCGGCCUGCGCGGAAGAUGUAACGGGGCUAAACCAUGCACCGAAGCUGCGGCAGCGACACUGUGUGUUGUUGGGUAGGGGAGCGUUCUGUAAGCCUGUGAAGGUGUGUCGUGAGGCAUGCUGGAGGUAUCAGAAGUGCGAAUGCUGACAUAAGUAACGAUAAAGCGGGUGAAAAGCCCGCUCGCCGGAAGACCAAGGGUUCCUGUCCAACGUUAAUCGGGGCAGGGUGAGUCGACCCCUAAGGCGAGGCCGAAAGGCGUAGUCGAUGGGAAACGGGUUAAUAUUCCCGUACUUGGUGUUACUGCGAAGGGGGGACGGAGAAGGCUAUGUUGGCCGGGCGACGGUUGUCCCGGUUUAAGCGUGUAGGUGUGUGUUCCAGGUAAAUCCGGUUCACUUUAACACUGAGGCGUGACGACGAGGCACUACGGUGCUGAAGCAACAAAUGCCCUGCUUCCAGGAAAAGCCUCUAAGCAUCAGGUAACAUCAAAUCGUACCCCAAACCGACACAGGUGGUCAGGUAGAGAAUACCAAGGCGCUUGAGAGAACUCGGGUGAAGGAACUAGGCAAAAUGGUGCCGUAACUUCGGGAGAAGGCACGCUGACACGUAGGUGAAGUGAUUUACUCAUGGAGCUGAAGUCAGUCGAAGAUACCAGCUGGCUGCAACUGUUUAUUAAAAACACAGCACUGUGCAAACACGAAAGUGGACGUAUACGGUGUGACGCCUGCCCGGUGCCGGAAGGUUAAUUGAUGGGGUCAGCGCAAGCGAAGCUCCUGAUCGAAGCCCCGGUAAACGGCGGCCGUAACUAUAACGGUCCUAAGGUAGCGAAAUUCCUUGUCGGGUAAGUUCCGACCUGCACGAAUGGCGUAAUGAUGGCCAGGCUGUCUCCACCCGAGACUCAGUGAAAUUGAACUCGCUGUGAAGAUGCAGUGUACCCGCGGCAAGACGGAAAGACCCCGUGAACCUUUACUAUAGCUUGACACUGAACAUUGAGCCUUGAUGUGUAGGAUAGGUGGGAGGCUUUGAAGUGUGGACGCCAGUCUGCAUGGAGCCGACCUUGAAAUACCACCCUUUAAUGUUUGAUGUUCUAACGUGGACCCGUUACCCGGGUUGCGGACAGUGUCUGGUGGGUAGUUUGACUGGGGCGGUCUCCUCCUAAAGAGUAACGGAGGAGCACGAAGGUUGGCUAAUCCUGGUCGGACAUCAGGAGGUUAGUGCAAUGGCAUAAGCCAGCUUGACUGCGAGCGUGACGGCGCGAGCAGGUGCGAAAGCAGGUCAUAGUGAUCCGGUGGUUCUGAAUGGAAGGGCCAUCGCUCAACGGAUAAAAGGUACUCCGGGGAUAACAGGCUGAUACCGCCCAAGAGUUCAUAUCGACGGCGGUGUUUGGCACCUCGAUGUCGGCUCAUCACAUCCUGGGGCUGAAGUAGGUCCCAAGGGUAUGGCUGUUCGCCAUUUAAAGUGGUACGCGAGCUGGGUUUAGAACGUCGUGAGACAGUUCGGUCCCUAUCUGCCGUGGGCGCUGGAGAACUGAGGGGGGCUGCUCCUAGUACGAGAGGACCGGAGUGGACGCAUCACUGGUGUUCGGGUUGUCAUGCCAAUGGCACUGCCCGGUAGCUAAAUGCGGAAGAGAUAAGUGCUGAAAGCAUCUAAGCACGAAACUUGCCCCGAG
rnacentral:rRNA from 3 species